AUAAAUUCAACGUCCGCAAGUCUUAUCCUAGCUAAAGACAAAAGGGAAAAAAAAUUUCUCUCUCUCUCUUCGUCGAUUCUUCUUCGUUCAUCUUCCUUCUUCUUUCGUUCUUCUUCCUUCUUCUCUAUUUGCAUGUCACGAAACCGAUCGAUCACUGCUACCUCCUCCUCCAAAUCCGUCAAUGAAAUCACCGUUGAGGUUCGGAUUUUUUGAUUUUUUUGUAUUGAUUUGAAGCUCGUCUAGUGAAUUGGGUUGAUACAAAUCGAUUUGAGAAUAGAUUUGACUCUGUGCAUCUCCUCUGUCUGUCUAUCUUUACACGACUUGGUUCCAUCGAUUUUGUUCCAAAACUCGUUGUAUUGGAGAGACCCGGGAGAGAGGAAGAACAUGGAACCAAAUCGAUGUAAUAAGAGAUAAGGCUAUGAGAGAACACUCCCGUGGAAACGUUAACGCAAAGGUCUGAUAAUGUUCAUCACCCACUCUCUGGCAGAGACGGAUCAAACUUGGGCAAAGCAUCUUUCUUUCAUUUAAUUUGGCAAGAGAGGCAGGAGGACAGGACAGCCAUUGAGGACGCGGAGCGCCACCACUAAAUCUCCAGCAUUACAGAUUCCCCCUUUCUUUGCGACUUGGACACCGAAACUAAUCAUGUCCCCAAUCGUUUUCGAUUCCGCCCCCAUCAGCGGAAUGAUCCCACGGGACACCAAGCCAUGACUGGCCACAUGAGACGACCAUUUAAAGGACUCCGACAUCGAAACAACCAAGAGAACAGGAACGCUCGGCCUGCACUUGGCCACAAGAUUUACCGCAGCCUUGGCAGUGAUAAUGAUGGCCUUUGCUUUGGGGUACUUCCAACAGGCGUAAGCGGCUUUCCUCGCCAUGAUGGGUUGUAACGGUCUCGGAAGAGCUUUCCUUAUUUUUUGCUGCACAGAUUUGUAAUCGAUAGAACUCUCUAACUCUUUACAGAGGCUUGAAAUUCUUUGCAAGACUAUGUCAGGGUGAGCUUCGUCGCCGCCGUCGAGGAGCAUGACGCAAUCGGUGGUGCAAUCGAGGACAGCGUUGGGGAGGUCGUCGUCGGUGGUUUGGCCCCCAAGAAUCUGUACGGCUGUCACGAUAUGUAUCCCGAGUGCACUAGCCUUGUCGAUCAUCUUUUUCUGAUCCAUUACCUGACUGCCUCUAGCCAACAAGACUGCAUCAGUUUUCUCCAUAAUCUCAUCCACAUUAGCAGCUGCUUCUUCAUUGUCAAUCUGUCAAAGUCAUUAAUUACCAAGAAAUCAAAUCUCAAGGGAAAUCAAAAUAUUAUUUAUGAUCAAAGGGUGGUCACGAGCAUAGCUAGAUGGAAUAUUUAUAAUAUCAAUCGGUCCUCAUUUUUAACUCACCUUUGACAUAA